rnacentral:rRNA from 1 species
UACGUAGGGUGCAAGCGUUAAUCGGAAUUACUGGGCGUAAAGCGUGCGUAGGUGGUUUGUUAAGUCUGUUGUGAAAGCCCCGGGCUCAACCUGGGAAUGGCAAUGGAUACUGGCAAGCUAGAGUGCGGUAGAGGGUAGUGGAAUUCCCCGGUGUAGCGGUGAAAUGCGUAGAGAUCGGGAGGAACACCAGUGGCGAAGGCGGCUACCUGGACCAGCACUGACACUGAGGCACGAAAGCGUGGGGAGCAAACAGG